rnacentral:rRNA from 1 species
CUUGGUCAUUUAGAGGAAGUAAAAGUCGUAACAAGGUCUCCGUUGGUGAACCAGCGGAGGGAUCAUUAAAGAGUUGCAAAACUCCCACAAACCAUCGCGAACGUUACCCAGACGUCGUUGCUUCGGCGGGCUCGCCCGCCGGGGGGACGCCACCAGACUCUUGCAGUGAUUCGGCCUCUCUGAGUAUGAUUUGUAAAUAAGUCAAAACUUUCAACAACGGAUCUCUUGGUUCCGGCAUCGAUGAAGAACGCAGCGAAAUGCGAUAAGUAAUGUGAAUUGCAGAAUUCAGUGAAUCAUCGAAUCUUUGAACGCACAUUGCGCCCGCCAGUAUUCUGGCGGGCAUGCCUGUUCGAGCGUCAUUUCAACCUUCAAGCCCUGCUGGUGUUGGGGUCCUGCGGCUGCCCGCAGGCCCCGAAAACCAGUGGCGGGCUCGCUAGUCACACCGAGCGCAGUAGCACAUCUCGCUCAGGGCGUGCGGCGGGUUCUUGCCGUUAAACAACCCCCCUUUCCACAGGUUGACCUCGGAUCAGGUAGGAAUACCCGCUGAACUUAAGCAUAUCAAUAAGCGGAGGA